rnacentral:lncRNA from 1 species
GCUGAGGAGUUAGGCACUACAGGACCCAAAGUGGAGAGUUUUCAGAAACCAAUGGCAGUCUUUCAAUUUGCCUACCACUGCCCAAUGUGGGGGAGUCGCAGUGGCCUUGGAGUUGUCACUUACUAAAUGAUUUGUGUACUCUCAUACUUAAUGAGAAAAUGUGGUCAUUUGAUAAAAUACAAGAUUUCCAAGUAUUCCUGUGGAACAGAUCCGACCUAAACAGAAAAGCUGAUGUCCAAAUACAAAAUUCAAGAGAAGCAUAAAAGGAGUGGUGACCACAAGAGCAUUGUCUUCGUUGUCCUGAUUAAAGAUCUGAUCUUUAGUCAAAUCUUUAGUGUUCUGUCUGGGGCCCAACUUUCUCCUGGAAGAAAGAUCAAAGAAAUGGAAAAAUAAAUCCAGAAAUUUCUAGAAGAAAAUAAUGUAUUAAGAACUAGAACUGGAUAAGGGAGAAGCUAAUGAGUUCCUAAGCCAACAGGGAAUAAUAAAGCAACAGCAAAAUAAUGAAAAAAUGGAAGA